rnacentral:lncRNA from 1 species
GGGUAGGGGAUUGGGGGGGGUGGGUAUGGGGGACCUUUGGGAUAGCAUUGAAAAUGUAAACGAGGAAAAUACCUAAUUAAAAAAAAAAAAGAAAGCAGGCUGAGCAAACAUUGUGAAGCACCCCCUCCAUGGCCUUUGCAUCAGCUCCCGCCUCCAUGUUUGAGUGCCUGUCCUGACUUUCUCCAAUGAUGAGCUAUGAGCUGGAAGUAUAAACAGAGUAAACCCUUUCCUCCCCAACUUGCUUUUUGGUCAUGGUGUUUCCCUGCAGUGAUAGAAACUCUAACUAAGACAGUCAGCCAAAUGUGAUAUAAAUAUUCCUGCAAUAGCUGACUUCAAGCUGUCAAUGUUUUAACUACCUGUUAAAAAUUUCUGGCUAUUUGGUGACUGGUUUUCAUAAUCAAUUAUGAGCCAAUUUCAGCUCAAUACUGUUUGGAAGAGUUCUGACCUAAAGAGCCUUCCACUCUGUGUGGAAGAGAUGCCCUAUGUCUGGCAGGAAGCUGUGGGGAGCCAUGGGGUAAUGUAAAUAGAGGAAUACCACAGCUGCACACAUUUGGUAGAGAUGUUUCUGGUAGAGGUGAGAAUAUAGGCAAGAGGAGAACACAACACAGGAAGUAUGCACUGCUGGACACUACUGCAUAUCCUAAAGCUGGGAAAGAUAGUGGUGCCUGAGCUAUGGCAGAGCUGAGGACAUAUUGACAUAAAUGCAUAAGAAACUACUCAGUGAAUAGCAGCUAUGAGUUCUCAACAUUGCCAAAAACUGCCUGAGGACUCUGGGUUCUAAACAACGUGGGCAAAUUUGGGAAGGAGUCAAAACCAUGGCAGUGCAGGGUGGCCUGUCAUAUCUCUAGCCCGGGACACCAUCACAGCUGAAGAAUGAAGAAAGAACCCUGCGAAGGAGAGAAGCCAUAAAGUUGGAUCAUAAUAUGUAUAAAGUUGACCCAGCUCUUCUCCUGAGCCACCCAUGGAGUAUGCUGGAAGACUACAAGCACCUCCCAUCUCAGUGCGAACUGUGCUGUCUCCCUCCCAGGCAGGAGAGUCUUCCAUACUACUCUAAAUAAAUUAAUCCAAAAUCAGCAGUCUUUAGAACCCACGGCCUCUAUAACAUAGUGUUUACAGUGUUACAUGAUAUAACUGUAGUAGAUCAGAAGGUCACCUCAGAGAGCUAAGACAGAAAGGAAAGGUAUGCAUCUUGAAGUAAAAGACAGUGCUAAGCCACAGGGAUCCAGAUAUUGCGUUUAUCAGACAUAAACUUUAAAGCAGCUGUCAUAGUGAAGGAUUCUAUAGAUACAGUUGAGGUUCUGAAGUGACUAGUUUUUAAUUAAUCCUGGAUGAGCCUAAUUUCAUCAGAUAAAAGCCUUGAGCGGCUCAGAACUUCUGUGAAGAGAGACAUAAGGGUCUGCCAAUAGCGUGAAAGCAGACUGUUCCACCAUGAUGCCUAUGAGUAGGAGCAUUGAGCUUGCUGCGCUAGCCAGCCAACCUGAAAGUGGCUGCCAGCACCAACCAGUGUGAGACCAGAGCCCUCGAAAUAAGGCCACCACACUGGAACAGGCUCAGAAGUUGAUUCUCCAAAAAAGAGUCCAGCUGACACCUUAUCUACAGUCCUUUUACAUGAAGACAGGGCCAACCCUCCUACCUCCUGACCUGCACACACAGAAGUAAAUGGAUGCCUACUGACAUUGCUGAAGGACAAUGCACUUUAGCAUCUCAGAGUCACUUUUGUUUGACACCAAUUUCAAUAUGCAUAAGGCCCUAACCAAAAAUAUAAUAGGUUCACACUCUGUCAUCUCUAUACCACUGUUCCUGGCCAUGCCAUUUAGUGUCAUUUUCCAUUUGAUAAAACUGGUGCUUUCACAACUAGCAAACUCUGGCCUCCUUUUAUCUAAGGAUGGUUCCUUAAUCUUUUGCAUCCCUCCCAGAUUUCAGCACAAGCUGGAGGUAGAAGCUAGGAGGAGCUUCAGCACUGACUGUGUGGAAACCUUAGCUAGAUCCUUUGGUUUAUGCCCUUUGGCUGCUUUCCAUGCACAGUGGCUACAGGGUUGAUGAUGAACUUCCUGACACUUCCGAGCAAACGAGCAAACAGCCCUUUUCAUUCUCCUCAGCAUCAGCCUCUGAUGGAAGCUCAGGUUUCUAGUCAUUUUCUCUUUGACGCUUCUUAGGUAUCCACUAAUACUUUCUUGUGUCUUUAUAGAUUUUUCUUUUCUGCUCCAGUUCCCCUUCUACAUCUUGGGCUUUUGUUACAAGAGCACCAGUUCAUAAGUAACAAAAUUUCUCUUACUUGUCUGUGGUAUCUAUCAAGUUAUCACAAAAAAACUUGAGUACCUAGAACAGUAAUAAUAAUAAUAAUAAUAAUAAUAAUAAUAAUAAUAAUAAUAAUAAACAAUGAUAACAACAAGAGGAGAAAAGAAGAAGAGAGAAGGAGAAGAAGAAGAAGAAAAGAAGAGGAAGAAGAAGAAGGAGGAGGAGGAGGAGGAGAAGGAGAAGGAGAAGG